rnacentral:rRNA from 1 species
UACGUAGGGUGCGAGCGUUGUCCGGAAUUAUUGGGCGUAAAGGGCUCGUAGGCGGUUUGUCACGUCAGGAGUGAAAACUCGGGGCUCAACCCCGAGCCUGCUUCUGAUACGGGCAGACUAGAGGUAUGCAGGGGAGAACGGAAUUCCUGGUGUAGCGGUGAAAUGCGCAGAUAUCAGGAGGAACACCGGUAGCGAAGGCGGUUCUCUGGGCCUGUACUGACGCUGAGGAACGAAAGCGUGGGGAGCGAACAGG